UUUCCGUAGGUGAACCUGCGGAAGGAUCAUUAAAAAAUUGGACUCCAUUGGUGAGUUCAUUAAUAAUCCCUACCCUUUGUGAAUUUGUUUGUUUGAAUAAUUUUUUUUCCAAAAAAAAAUUAUUGAAUGUCUUUCCCUGUUUUGGUGGAGCUUGUAAAGUGAAACCAGGCAGGGGAAUGGCAAACAAUAAUUAUUUUUUGAAAAAAGACCUUUUUUAAAAUUAAACUUUUUGUAUUCAUUUGUCUAAAAUUAUUUUUAUAAUAUAAAAACAACUUUUGACAAUGGAUCUCUUGGUUCUCGCAACGAUGAAGAACGCAGCAAAAUGCGAUAAGUAGUGUGAAUUGCAGAAUACGUGAAUCAUCGAAUCUUCGAACGCAUAUUGCACUUUUUUAGUUUACUAAAAAAGUAUGUCUGUUUGAGUAUCAGUAAAAUAUUCUCAUAAAAAAUUUAUUUUUUAUGGUUAUGAGUGUUUUACAACGAUAACAAGUUGUUUCACUUUAAAUUCUUUGUUAUCAAAAAAAUCAUUAAAAGCUAAUUUUAAAGAUUUUUUAAAAUUGGAUAAAAUUUUCCCGUAAAAAGGAAUAACCUAAACAAUUUUAAAAAAUUAAAAUUGGUUUGAUUUUUCUUGAUUUAAAAAGGAAAAAAAAGUAAAAAUUAACUUGAUCUCAAAUCAGAUAAGAGUACCCGCUGAACUUAAGCAUAUCAAUAAGCGGAGGAAAAGAAACUAACUAGGAUUCCCUCAGUAACGGCGAGUGAAGCGGGAAGAGCUCAAAUUUGAAAUCUUCAAGGUUUUACCUUGACGAAUUGUAGUUUAAAGAAGUGUUUUCUGUUGGAGUUUUGGUAAAAGUUCUUUGGAAAAGGACAUCAUAGAGGGUGAGAAUCCCGUAUUUGACCAUUAUCUCCAGCUUUGUGAUACACUUUCAAAGAGUCGGAUUGUUUGGGAAUGCAGUCCAAAAUGGGUGGUAAAUCUCAUCUAAAGCUAAAUACUGGCGAGGGACCGAUAGCGAACAAGUACCGUGAGGGAAAGAUGAAAAGAACUUUGAAAAGAGAGUUAAACAGUACGUGAAAUUGUCAAAAGGGAAGCGUUUGACACCAGUGUUGUUUUCUCGAAAAUCAAUUAAAAAAGGCCGGAUUUUGUGUUGUAAUUGACUUUAUCAGCUUUCUGCACUUUUUUCUUGUCUUUUUUAAUGCACUUUUCGUUUAACAAGUCAACAUCAAUUUCUUUUGUUGUAAAAGGGUCAUUGGAAGGUGGCUUUCUUUUCGGAGAAAGUGUUUAUAGCCUUUGACUCUGCAAUCGGAGAGACUGAGGUCUGCAGCGUAGAUCCUUUGGAUUAGAUUCAUUUGUGCUAAGUUAUAGCUUUUAUAGACAACUUGUUGACUAUAUUAGUCAUGUAGCUUACUCGCUUAUGCUAUUU
rnacentral:misc_RNA from 1 species